AUUGAACGCUGGCGGCAUGCCUUACACAUGCAAGUCGAACGGCAGCACGGACUUCGGUCUGGUGGCGAGUGGCGAACGGGUGAGUAAUGUAUCGGAACGUACCUUUCAGUGGGGGAUAACGUAGCGAAAGUUACGCUAAUACCGCAUAUUCUGUGAGCAGGAAAGCAGGGGAUCGCAAGACCUUGCGCUGAUUGAGCGGCCGAUAUCAGAUUAGCUAGUUGGUGGGUAAAGGCCUACCAAGGCGACGAUCUGUAGCGGGUCUGAGAGGAUGAUCCGCCACACUGGAACUGAGACACGGUCCAGACUCCUACGGGAGGCAGCAGUGGGGAAUAUUGGACAAUGGGCGCAAGCCUGAUCCAGCCAUCCCGCGUGAAGGAUUAAGGCCCUCUGGGUUGUAAACUUCUUUUCUCUGGGAAUAAAAGUAGGGGUUCUCCCGUACCUUGAAGGUACCAGAGGAAUAAGCACCGGCUAACUCCGUGCCAGCAGCCGCGGUAAU
rnacentral:rRNA from 1 species